UUGGUUGAAUAAGGGCUUAACAUAGUCCAUAUAGUAAUCCACUUGCAUCAGUACAAAAAGAAUCCGACCUAAAAAACAAAGGAGAAUUGUGAAUAAAAAUACGAAAUUUCACACUCAAAGAAAAAGAUGAUGAUCGAGACAAAUAACAGCAUCAUAUCAUUAUUGGCAUGAUAAACACUCUGCAUUCAUAUCAGCUAGCCAUGUUCUUGAUAAAUUAAAGGGCUGUGCUAUUUGCACAGGGUCCUGACAUGUGGGGUCCACCCCCAUAUCUCACACCCUGUGCACAAGACCCUGUGCAAGGAGAAAUAUCCUAAAUUAAAUCAGUUUUCAAAUACAUCAUUAUGGUUUAAUCUAGGUGGACCACUUCUCACGAUCAAUAGGCAUUUUUCCCCUAAAGUUCAUGUGCAUAAAUCACCCAUUUCAUUGAAAAUAUUAGGUAUUAGCUUUUUGGUAGAUAAAUCACAAUUAUUCGCCGAGAGCUUGCAGAUAUUAAAAUGAUCGACAAUAUACAUCUCUCAUUGGAGUCAGGCUAGGAGUGUAAAAGUGGGUGUACUAUCCAAAGCCAUAUAUUUGGAAGCAUUGAGGGACCAAAUGUCACACUUAACACGACAUAGGCAAUGAGGUCAUAUAUCUCCAAAUAAUCAAUCUCCAUGGCGGUUUGAAUAAAAAAACAUAUCACAUUUUAUUAAAAAAAUUAAAAAAAAUGGUAAAUAACAUAAAACGUUCAUAUAUUUCAAUGUUAUUGUGCAAAAUGUCCAUACCUUUCUUUUUUGGCAUUUUUAUCCCUAUUCCCACUUUUCAUUGUCCAAAAUGUCAUUUUCAUCUAUUUUUUCAAUAAAAUGAUGAUUUUACCCUUAUAUUCAAAUAAAACAAAAAGAAAUGAAAUGAAAUGAUAAAGAACUAAUUACAAUAAUAAUUCCAAAUUUUCAAAAAAUUACAAAUUAAUCACAAAUAUAUAAUUCAAAUUCAAAACUAAAAAGGCCAAAAAAAAACCAUUCAAUGAUUAUUGGAACUCAAUCAGCCUGCUCACAUUCAUCAAAUUGUUUUGGAAGAUAAAUUGUCCUUUUUUAUGCACGUUACUUUUUUUCUUUUUCUUUUUUUUUCCUCAUCUCCAUCUCUCUCCCCCAGUCACAGAGAGGAAAAAGGGAGAACAAAAAGAUUAAAUCAUAAAAAACCUGGAUUCAGAUUCUUCAUAACUGCACACAUUUGAAUUCCACUUGAAUUUUUCAUGUUUUCGCAUGAAAAUAACCAGAUCCAAGAAUCUUGACUAAACGGGUGUUCUGGGUGUUAGCAAAUCUAUCAUGACUUCAGAUUCAAUAUCUAAUUCAAAGCCUGCACCAAUUCCAUCCAAAUAGGAAGACGAGUUACCAAAUUCAACCGCUGCUCUUUUUCCCUGAGAGGCUGAGACACGGAAUCUUCCUCCUUAAUCUCCCUGUCAUUGAAAGAAUCGACCAACAGGAUUCUAUUCAUUUGUCUAAUUCUUUCCACAGGCAUUGCUCUCUCUGCUUCUUUUGCCUUUGUCUUUUCUAUUCUUCUCCUCUUUUGCUUCAUCAUCGCCAUCAGCAACUUCUCAAUCCCUUGAUCAAGUCUCGAGGCCACUCACAAAGCUCAAGCACCCAGUUGUUUUGUUAAUAUUCUCAGAUGGUUUUCGAUUCGGGUACCAAUUCAAGACCUACACUUCAAAUAUCAAAAAGAUUGAUUGUUGGGGAUCCUAGGAGUUCAAUCAACCAAAACAUCAACCCAUAGACAAGAUUCAAGGCAAAACAAUGAAAAAAGGGGAUGGAAAAAUACAACCUGUGUUCGGCCGAAAUCUGUCCAGCUUUCCUUCCUCGUUUCAGCAGCUUCUUCUUCGAUUUAUGGGUGUUUUUCAGGCUCAGGAACAGCCUUCCAUGACUUGCUAAUUACCUUCCAAGAGAGAGGGGAAAACCAAUGAAGAACCACAACCCUUUGCCAAAGAGAACCGAGAGCUCCUCUCUGCUGGGAGAAAAGAAACCGAGAGCUCUUCUUCUUAAAAUGGUAGAGGGUAAGUCUACAUAAGAAGGAAAGACCAUGCCUCUGCCAAAAAACGUGGGAAGACCUUAUUGUGUCAACAUCAAUACCAUCAAGUCACAAGUUGAUAGUGUUAGGUGAACCAUAUCCUCACAUUCUUCACCUUGGUUCUCCUAACACUCUCUCUUGGUUGCGAAUUUGCACAUGGAAGAACUGUUCAUCAUCAUCGCUCACCACCUGCAAGAAAAUUAACCAGUGUCAAUGUGUAAUAAAGAUAAGCACAAUCUAAAUUUACUUGCAGGUAGAAUUUUUGUUCCCAUAUCAGAGGGAUUCCUAUCAGUGUGAAUUUUAACAAGAUUAACUUCACCUUGAGACAGUUUCUCACGUAUAAAAUGAUACUUUACCUCAAUAUGUUUAGUUCUUUCAUGGUAAACAGGAUUUUUACAAAGCAAUAAAGCACUUUGACUAUCAGUAAACAUAACAGGUGUAUCAUGCAUGAAGUUCAAUUCUUUUAAAAUUCCUUUUAACCAAGUACAUUCUUUAGCCGCCUCAGUUAUGGCAACAUAUUCUGCCUCAGUACUUGACAAAGUAACUAAAGGCUGCAGCUGUGACUUCCAUGUUAUACAAUUGUCACCUAGUGUAAAAAAGUACGCUGUAGUAGACUUUCUGCUAUCCUUGUCAUCAGCAAAAUCAGAGUCUACAUACCCCUUUAGAGUAAGUUUUUCAGAUCUCUUUUCAUACACUAGACCCAGAUUUGAUGUACCAACAAUGUACCUUAACAACCAUUUCAAACCUGCCCAAUGAGGCUUUCCUGGGUUUGACAUAAAUCUGCUCAAAAAACUUAUAGCAUAGGCUAAGUCAGGCCUGAUUGUUAUCAUAGAGAACAUGACGGAACCUAUAGCAUUAGCGUAGGGUAUGUUCCUCAUUUCUCUAAAUUCCUCCUCAGUCUUAGGAGAUUGUGCACCAGAAAGAUUCAUAUGAGCUGCUAAGGGAACGUUCACAGAUUUUGAUCCAUUCAUACCAAAUUCGGUUAUGACUUUGUUUAGAUAUGCUUCUUGAGAAAUGACUAGUCUAUUUUCAGCCCUAUAUCUCUUUAUAACCAUUCCCAAAAUCUUCUUAGCACUCCCCAGAUCUUUCAUAUCAAAUUCUGAUUUUAAAAGGUUCUUCAUCUUAGUGAUUUCAGUCUUAUUUGAAAUUGCUAGAAGCAUGUCAUCUACAUACAGCAACAAGUAGACCUCACAGCCCUCCUUACUAUCAUUAUAGUACAGGCAUGCAUCAUAUUCACUCCUUUUAAAACCUAUCUUCAGUACAUAGGUAUCGAACCUUAUAUACCACUGUCUAGGGCUUUGUUUAAGCCCAUACAGAGAUCUUUCUAAUUUGCACACACAGUUAGUUUUACCUUUCACCUCAAAACCUUGAGGCUGACUCAUGUAAAUAUCUUCUUCCAAUUCCCCAUGUAGGAAAGCAGUCUUGACAUCUAGUUGUUCUAGUUCCCAGUUGUACUGAACAACCAAUGCAAGAACAAGUCUGAUUGUUUUGUAUUUUAUCACAGGAGAGAAUAUCUCAUUGUAAUCAACCCCCUUCUUUUGAGUGAACCCUUUCGCCACUAAUAUAGCCUUAUACCUAGGAGGAUCACUAGGAUUAUUUCCUUCUUUCAAUUUGUAAAUCCACUUACAUUGAACUAUCCUAUGAUCCUUAGGUUUGUUAACUAACUUCCAAGUUUUAUUCUCCAUUAGAGAUUCCAUUUCUUCCCGCAUAGCUUUUAGCCAACUUUCAGAACAUUUUCCAUUAACAGCUUCUUCAUAACUAACAGGUUCUAUCUGUUCAAGGGCUUCACCUGAAACUAAGGCAAAAUCAGUCAAGUUUGGGGAUUCAUAUCUAGGAUUUGGCCUGAUUUGCCUCCUCCCCCGAUCCCUAGUAAGCUGAUAAUCUUGAUUAGGUGGCUGAUCAUUAAAAUGUUCAACUUCAACUGGUUCAAUGUUAUCUUGAAGUUCAGUCACCUCUUCAGGUUCAGGUUCAGGUUCAAUUUCAAUUUCAUUUUCAUUUUCAUGAUGUAUAGGGUUAUUUUCGUCAUUCCCAGGUGUAGGUGAAUUUAGCCUAGUCAGCUUCACCUCAGUCUGAAUACUCUUCUCAGUUUCAGAUUUGUUAGUUUCUUCGGUUUUCUGUUUUAGACAUGGCAUCUCAGAUUCAUUAAAGACUACAUUCCUGCUGUUAAUGAUCUUAAUGCCUUGGACCCCUAAAACCUAUAACCUAUAGCCCUUCACACCCUCGGGAUACCCUAACAUCAUACACUUGAUAGCCCUGGGCUCAAGUUUCCCUUCAGAUUGAUGUGCAUAUGCAGCACAUCCAAACACCUUCAAGUGUUCCAGAUUUGGAGGCUCUCCCGUCCACAACUCCUGUGGGGUCUUAAACCCUAUACUGCUGGACGGAGACCUAUUAAUCAGAUAAGCUGCAGUACUUGCAGCUUCAGCCCAAAAACCUUUCGCAAGGCUAGAGCUAAUCAACAUACACCUAACUUUGUUCAUUAUGGUCCUGUUCAUUCUUUCAGCGACCCCAUUUUGUUCAGGUGUGUAUUUAACAGUUCUGUGUCUUGUUAUACCUUUCUGCUUACAGAAGUUGUCAAAUUCGCUAUUACAGAAUUCAAGCCCAUUAUCAGUUCUUAACGUUUUAAGUUUCUUGUCUAACUGAUUCUCAACAGACUUUAACCAAAUCCUGAAUUUUCCAAAAGUUUCCGACUUAGCCUUCAAAGGAUAAAUCCAAACCUUUCUUGAGUAAUCAUCCACUAAGGACAAGAAAUACUUGCUCCCACCAAAUAUGGAGUGCUUCUCCGGGCCCCAUAGAUCAGCAUGGACAUAGUCUAAUGGUCUGCUGGUCCUAUGAGAGCUAGCUUCAAAGCUCACCUUAUGAGACUUACCCAAAACACAAGUUUCACAGAAUUCCAUAGUUUCAAUGUCAUCUUUUCCAAGUAAUUUCUGAUUACUUAAAGAUUUUAGACCUUUAAACCCAAUGUGACCCAUUCUGUUAUGCCAAAGUUCAAUUUUGUCUUUACUCACAGCAAGGAGGCUAGAAUCAAAUGGUAUUUCAGUUCUACCCUCAAGAUAGUACAGCCCAUUCCUCUUGGGCCCCUUCAUAACUAUAAGAGAACCCUUCAUAAUUUUCAAAAUCUUGUUACCAGACUUGAAGGUAUAUCUGCCAAAAAACGUGGGAAGACCUUAUUGUGUCAACAUCAAUACCAUCAAGUCACUAGUUGAUACUGUUAGGUGAACCAUAUCCUCACAUUGAUUAUAAAUGGUACUGAAGUCAAGCUGGGUUUGAUUCCACUGUUUCCGUCGCUGACUUUUCCGAACCAUUACUCAAUUGUCACGGGUUUG
rnacentral:lncRNA from 1 species